CCUCCUCUUCCUCCGAGCGCCCCUCCCGCGGGCCACGCCCCUCACACAUUGAAUGGGCACCGACCCGGCCCAGGCGGUCGCAUUGCCGCGGCCCCGGCCAUGGGCAGCUUCCAGCUGGAAGACUUUGCGGCGGGCUGGAUCGGAGGUGCAGCCAGUGUCAUUGUUGGCUACCCUCUGGACACGGUCAAGACUCGCCUGCAGGCCGGCGUGGGCUAUGGGAACACGCUCAGCUGCAUCCGCAUGGUGUACAGGAAGGAGAGUGUGUUCGGCUUCUUCAAGGGCAUGUCCUUCCCCCUGGCCAGCAUCGCCGUGUACAACUCGGUGGUGUUUGGGGUCUUCAGUAACACGCAGAGGUUCCUCAGCCAGCUCCACAGCAGGGAGCCUGAGGCCAGCCCGCCCCACACCCUGUCAGACCUGCUCCUGGCCAGCAUGGUGGCCGGCGUGGUGUCCGUCGGACUGGGCACGCCUGUGGACCUCAUCAAGAUCCGCCUGCAGAUGCAAACACAGGCAUUUCGGGAAACCAGCCUCAGUUUGAAGAACAGGGCAGUGGCUCUCGGGGAGCAGCCAGCCUACCAGGGGCCUGUGCAUUGCAUUGCAACCAUCGUGCGGACUGAGGGCCUGGCGGGGCUAUACCGGGGUGCCGGUGCCAUGAUGCUGAGGGACGUCCCGGGCUAUUGCCUCUACUUUGUUCCGUAUGUGUUCCUGACCAACUGGUUCACACCUGAAGCCUGUGCAGACCCCAGCCCCUAUGCUGUAUGGCUGGCAGGUGGCGUGGCAGGAGCAAUUUCUUGGGGGACAGCGACUCCUAUGGAUGUUGUGAAAAGUCGACUCCAGGCUGAUGGGGUUUAUAUAAACAAAUACAAAGGUGUCCUGGACUGUAUCUCCCAGAGUUACCAGAAGGACGGUCUUAAAGGCCAGGGCUGGUGUCAUGGACCAGGGCCUCAUUCCCUGCAGGGCGAGGCCUCUCCAGAACCUGCUCACCUCCGAACCCCUUCUUUCGGAUUGCAAGCACUCUGCUCCCCCUCUCCCAGCUGGACCAUUGAUAAACCGCCACCUAUUUUUUAUCUGCACUGGCACCUGGCAAAAAGUGGGGCGAAAUAGACCUGUUUCCCACGACUGCUGUAAACUCACUGGGAAUUCACAGAGGAGCUGGAGUUGUCUCUAAGUUUCCAAAUAAAAACAAUGAAAACUUCUUCAGGUCAUUUCUGUAUCGGAUGCUUCUGCCUGGCUUCCAAGAGACACAGGCCACCCUCACUCUUCCCUCUGUUAGACCCCUGUAGAUGUCACCAGAGAAGAGGCCAUUCCAUGCAGCCCGGUUUCCAGAAUGAUGUCAUGAUUCUACAUUGUGUUUCUCACUCGAGCCAUGUGGGGAGGCCCUUGCUCGUGUCCGUGAUGUCACUCCCACUCUUCGUGCCGACAACAGGCGUCGUUAAUCAGGCAGGGAGCCCCUCCUGUGGAGCCGGAUGCAGCGUCAGAGUCCUCCUCAGCACAGUGCCCUGAGCAGCCACCACCAGCCGGUCCACAGUGACAGACAAAGGAAUCUAGUUGCCAUUCCUGGCUUAAAACCUGGUGGUGAAAAUAUCCUUAGAUUUCUUUUCUCCCUCCCCGCCCCCUGUGAUUUCCUGCCCCCUUCCACGGCCCUUGAGUGACUCAGAGCAUGUUUCUGGAAAUUCCCUGCCCUACCAGACCCAGCACCAAGGCACAGCGCUGCUCAAGGCAUAAAGAAGUUGAACGUGUUCAGCCUCAUUGUUUAUCCUGAUGCUUUAGCAGAGGGUUCCCUCCUUGAAAUAAACCCUUAGUGUGCCCUCCUUGGUCUUCCUGCUUCACAGCCCCUGGCGAUGGCGGGUCCCUCGGGCCGAUCUGCGGGCUGCAGUCCAACACACCCCCUCCACCCGUCAUCAAGCAUUUGUUGACCACCUA